rnacentral:rRNA from 1 species
GGGUUGUGAGGUUAAGCGACUAAGCGUACACGGUGGAUGCCCUGGCAGUCAGAGGCGAUGAAGGACGUGCUAAUCUGCGAUAAGCGUCGGUAAGGUGAUAUGAACCGUUAUAACCGGCGAUUUCCGAAUGGGGAAACCCAGUGUGAUUCGUCACACUAUCGUUAACUGAAUACAUAGGUUAACGAAGCGAACCGGGGGAACUGAAACAUCUAAGUACCCCGAGGAAAAGAAAUCAACCGAGAUUCCCCCAGUAGCGGCGAGCGAACGGGGAGGAGCCCAGA